GGCCCAAAUUUGAAGUAAAGUAGGUUAGUAAGAUUGUCCGACCCUACUAAGGUACUCUACUUCAAGUUUGUGCCC
rfam:Haemonchus contortus, ISE/inbred ISE, WGS project CAVP01000000 data, contig: Hcontortus_9384